rnacentral:tRNA from 1 species
UGUCCAGGGAUGGGAAUCGAACCCACAGUAUUCCGCUUACCGGGCAGAUGCCAUGUCCACUAGGCUUCCCAUCCCUGGAC